GCCAGAGUCAACAGUCUCCAGGGUGGGCCGGAAGUUGUUGUAGGCGUUCUCAAGGCCGAAUCUGCUCUCCCUCAGAUUCUGGUCUGUAGGGAGAGGCCGUGAUGAGUGAUGGGAGCCUUGGUAGGGGGAGGACUAGGGGGCAGAGGGGAUUUCCUCUGGCAAAAGGAAGAGUCAGCCCGGCAUCUGCCCUACGUCCUUUCCCACUGCCGAACACCCCUCCGACCCUGCAUCACUGGGCUGCGGCUGGGAAAAGUGAGACCCAGACGCUCCAUCUCAGCUUCCCCAUGUGGUGCUGUGCUCUGUGGUGGCCAAGACUGCCAUGUUGCCAUGCUGUGAUGCAGAAAGAAAGUCCUCACCAGAUGCAGCCCCUUGAUCUUGGACUUCCCAGCCUCCAGAACUGUUUUCAAACAGUUCCUCAUACUCUAAAGUGUAGUCUGCCUCCAGGAUGACAUCAUUCUUGACCACGAUGCUACCGUUGCUGGAAGUGGGAAUCGUUUCAUCAGUUACCCAUGUCACCACCCAGCCAGCAAGUGGAGCCCAAGCACCCAGAGUGGUAAUGGGAGAUGAAGCUGCCAUGUGACCCAGAGGUGAGAAAGAAUACAGAGUCUUCCCUCCAGCAGCUAACCACCCAGACAGAGGGAGGAGAGCGAAACGAUUCAAGAUCUCACAUAUCAGUGAUCAUGAUAAAUGCCAAUGAGUGAAAUUCAUCUCUCGCAAAAUAGUGGCUCUUGGAUGAACAGGUGGAGAAAUUUGAAUCCCUGUGUCCUGUUGAUGCGAAAGUAAAAUAGUGCAGCUGCUAUGGAAAACAGUAUGGAGCUCCUCAAAAAAUUUAAAAUAGAAUUAAUGCAUGAUUCAGCAAUUCUACUUCUGGGUAUAUAUACAAAAUAACUGAAAGCAGGUCUUGAAUUUAUAUUUGUACCCUUGUGUUUUUAGUAGCAUUAUUUACCAUAGCCAAAAGGUGGAAGCAAACCAAGGGUCCAUCAUCAGGCAAAUGGAGAAACAAAUGUGGUCUAUUGUGGAAUAUUAUUUAGCCUUAAAAAGGAAGUACAGGGCAGGAAGUGAGGUGGCUCAUGCCUGUCAUCCCAGCAAUUUGGGAGGCUGAGGUGGGAGGACUGCUUGAGGCCAGGAGUUCAAGACCAGCCUGGGCAACAUGAUGAGACCCCAUCUCUACAAAAAAUACAAAAAUUAGUCAGCCAAGUUGGUGCACGCUUGUAGUCCCAGCUACUCAGGAGGCUACGUCAGGAGGAUCGCUUGAGCCCAGGAGUUUGAGGCUGUGUUGAGCUAUGAUUGCACCACUGCACUUCAGGCAACAGAGCAAGACCCCAUUUUUUAAAAUUUAAAAAAGAAAGAAAAAGGUAAGUUUCUAACCUAGAAGCUACUCCUUCAAUAGCCAAUGAUGCAGCUGGGGGGAGAGAUCUUGAGACAAGGCAAGUCAUCUGUCACUGUCAUUUUGAAAGAUAAGUCAGUAGUAGGACUCAGGAGGACUUGGACAAAAAAAAUCCUGAGCCAAAAUGGAAAGACCAGGGUGCCGAUGCUGAGCCAGGGGCAAGGUUGGGGCACCGGGACCCUCUCUUCCCUGCUGCAAGGACACGGCACCCUUGAAGCACCCUUCCCACCCCUCUAUCUGCCUCUUUCCAUUCUCCACUGGGGGCUCUGGCUAGAUCUUAAAUGUUGGUGCUUUCCAGCUUCAUUCCUGGGAGACCCUCGUUUUGUGCCAUGACCCUCCCUCACCCCCGACCUGAGCCAUCUCUUCCUACUCCCAGGACUUCCAGUGACAUGCAACUGGGGAUACCAAUGCCUGUGUCUCUGAUAAUACCCUUUAGAGGCUGGGUGUGGUGGCUUACGCUUGUAAUCCCAGCACUUUGGGAGGCCGAGGCGGGAGGAUCACUUGAACCCAGGAGUUUGAGACCAGCCCGGGCAACAUAGCAAGACCCCAUCUCUGCAAAAAUUACAAAAAUUAGGCUGGGGCAGUGGCUUACACCUGUAAUCCCAGCAUUUUGGGAGGCCAAGGCGGGCGGAUCACUUGAGGUCAGGAGUUCGAGACCAGCCUGGCCAACGUGGUGAAACCCUGUCUCUACUAAAAAUACAAAAUUUAGCUGGGUGUGAUGACAUGUGCCUGUAGUCCCAGCUACUCGGGAAGCUAAGGCAGGAUAAUCACUUGAACCUGGGAGGUGAAGCUGCAGUGAACCGAGAUUGCACCAUGGCACUCCAGCCCAGGCAACAGAGCAAGACUCUGUCUCAAAAAAAGCAAAACAAAAAAAUUACAAAAAUUAGCCAAGCACGAUGGCACAGGCCUGUAGUCCCAGCUACUCGAGAGGCUGAGGUGGGAGGAUUGCUUGAACCCGAGAGGUUGAGCCUGCAGUGAGCCAUAAUUAUGCCACUGCAUUCCAGCCUGAGCAAGAGAGCGAGACCCUGCCCCCGAUCCCCACAAAAUAAGACCCUUUAGGGCACAUUCCACUGCUGCAUCACGCAACCACUCCAUGUGGCUGGGCCCUGGGCACUUGAAACUUGAUGUGAUGCACACUGAACUCAUCAUCUCCUUCCCCCAUUCUACCCCUCAUGACAUUCCUCCACACAGCACAGGGCACCCCACACCUCCAGCCGCCCAGAAAUCUGCCCUCGUUCCUCAUUCUUCCCUCCCUCCUCUCCUGCAGCAAAUCCCAGGUCUGCUGGUCCUGCCUCCCAAAGACCUUUCACACUGGACCUGUUUUCUCCUUUACUGUCACCUAUCUGGUGUAGGCCACCAUCAUCUCCAGUACAGGCUUCUGCUUAUGCAAUCUCUACCCUACAGCCAGACUGAGCUAUCUACUCUGCAGACCAGACACUAUCCCUCAUGGGUCUACACUGCUGAUGCCAAAAGUCUAACUAACUUGGCAUGAGCCAUCUUUCCAGCCUCCUCCCCCAUCACUGGUCCUUUGCUCUUAAGCACCCAGCCAUUCUGAGCGUCUUUAGGUUCCUGGAAUCUGCCCUCCUCUCUCUCCCCUCUGGGCUUCUUCUCAUUCAUUCCCUCUGCUGCAACUGCCUCUCCUUCCCUUCCUUCUCUCUGGAUCAUUCCUCCUCAUCCUUCAAGCCUCAGUUUUGCUGUUACAUUUUUUUUUCUUUUUGUAGAGAUGGGAUCUCGCUAUGUUGCCCAGGCUAGUCUCGAAUUCCUGGCCUGAAGUGAUCCUCCCCCAUUGGCCUCCCAAAGCAUUGAGAUUACAUGCAUGAACCACCACGCCCAGCCUGUUGCCAGUUUUUCCAGGAAGAAUUCUUCUGCCACACCAAGCUUUGCUUUUGGGACCUCUCCCAGGGCACCCUGUGUGCCCCUUACUGAAACUCUAAGCAGACUGCUUAGCCACUUUUCCAUCUGUGUUCUGCCACUCUGAGCUCAAGGAAAACUGGGACUACUGUGUUCCCAGCACCCAGCAGGGGGCUGGCUUUCAACAAAUGUGUGUUGAGUGGAUGAAUGAAUGAAGAAUGAAAGGUGUCACAGCCCCCAGUGUUCCCUAGCGGCUGCAGGCCUCUCUGACCCAACCAGUAUUGAUAUUCUAGCCAUUCAUGAUAGGAGGAGGCAGGAAAGCAGGGACAAGGAGGAUUUCCCCACAUCUAUAAACCUGCCCCCCAAUAUACUCACAGCAAUCUCCGAAUGUUCACCCCUCUAUACUGAGGAAGAUUGUCGCCCUUCAAAACGACAUCCAUCUGAAAGAAACAAGGCAGCGAAGGUCACACAAAGCUAGAGCAUGAAGACUCUCCUGUUCCCCUUCUUGAGGCAGCCCUAGGCACCUUUCUGUGGAGCCCAGGUAAGCUCCCAUAGGAGGAACCACCAACCCAGGAAGCUCCCUCUGCCAUAAUGUGGGUCAUGUGGGGCUGAAGGCUGGAAGCUCUCAAAGGACCUCCUUUCAAGACUUAGGGAGACUGGUAGGGAGGGGGCUCAUGAGCAGAAGAACUCAGAUCACUAAGUUGGGGUGCACCCCCCAAUUUCCUCUCACAUGGGACAUCACCCUGGGGUGUCUGGGUGUGCCCUGGUCUUACCCGAUUCUUGAAGAGGGUACUGAAGUUCUGGUAUUCCUGGGAGGAUGCAUCAUUCAUCUUUUCUGUGAAAUUUCUGUAAGUCACUUUCACUGUCAUACCUAAAGUGGCGUUGAGUUUUUCCGGGGUUUCUGUGGGAAAAGGCCAUGGUAUGCGUGAGACAGCGACCUCCCAAUGAUGUCCCCCAGGAUUGAUACAUUCUCUGCCUGUGGGUGUCUUGAAGGUGAAAGAAACUUAAGAGGAAGGUGGGGUCACUGUUCCCUGUCUCCCAAAACCCUGAGGAGCCAGUGGCCAGGAGGGAAAGGGACAGAACUAAGUACAGAAGCCCUUUGAUGAGGGGGGCAGGUGAGCUAAUGGAAAGGGCCCUGGGCCGGGUGCUGUGGCUCACACCUGUAAUCCCAGUGCAUUGGGGAGAUGGGAAGACCUACCUGGGCAACAAAGUGAGACCCUGUCUCCACGAAAAUAAAAAAAUUAACCAGGCAUGGUAGUGCACGCCUGUAGUCCCAGCUAUUCGGAAGGCUGAGGCCAGAGGAUAACUUGAGCCCAGGAGUUCGAGGCUGUGGUGAGCUAUGAUCUGCAACUCUGCACUCCAGCCUGGGCCACAGAGUGAGACCCUAUCUCAAAAGAAAUGGAGGUUCCUAAAACUAAAAAUAGAGCUACCGGCCAGGCGCAGUGGCUCACACCUGUAAUCCCAGCACUUUGGGAGACUGAGGUGGGUGGAUCACGAGGUCAGGAGAUCAAGACAAUCCUGGCUAACACGGUGAAACCCCAUCUCUAAUAAAAAUACAAAAAAAAAAAAAAAUAGCCAGGCAUGGUGGCGGGCACCUGUAGUCCCAGCUACUUGGGAGGCUGAGGCAGGAGAAUGGCAUGAACCUGGGAGGUGGAGCUUGCAGUGAGCCGAGAUCGUGCCACUGCACUCCAGCCUGGGCAACAGAGCAAGACCCCAUCUCAAAAAAUAAAAAAUAAAAAUAGAGCUACCAUACAAUCCAGCAAUCCCUCUGCUGGGUAUAUACCCAAAAGAAAGGAAAUCAGUACAUUGAAGAGAUCUCUGCACUCCCAUGUUUGUUGCUGUUCACAAUAGCCAAGACUUGGAAGCAACCCAAGUGUCCAUCAACAGAUGAAUGGAUAGAGAAAAUGUGGUACAUAUACACAAUGGAGUACUAUUCAGCCAUCAAAAAGAAUGAGAUCCUGUCAAUUGCAACAACAUGGAUGGAACUGGAGGUCGUGUUAAGUGAAAUAAGCCAGGCACAGAAAGACAAACAUUGCAUGUUCUCACUUGUUAGUGGAAUCUAAAAGUCCAAAUAAUUGAACUAAUGGAGGCAGAGCAUAGAAGGAUGGUUACCAGAGGCUGGGAAGGGUAGUAGGGUGGAGGUGAGAGGGAGGUGGGUAUGGUUAAUGGGUACAAAAAAUGUAUAGUUAGAAAGGAUGAAUAAGACCUAGUAUUUAACACGACAGAGUGACUAUAGUCAAUAAUAAUUUAAUUGAACAUUUAAAAACAACUAAAAUAGCUGGGCGCGAUGGCUCAUGCCUGUAAUCCCAGCACUUUGGGAGGCCGAGGCAGGAGGAUCACCUAAGAUCAGUAGUUCCAUACCAGCCUGGCCAAUAUGGUGAAACUCCGUCCCUAUUAAAAAUACAAAAAUUAGCCAGGCAUGGUGGCCCAUGCCUGUAAUCUCAACUACUCAGGAGGCUGAGGCAGGAGAAUCACCUGAACCCAGGAGGUGGAGGUUGCAGUGAGCCAAGAUCGUGCCAUCACACUCCAGCCUGGGAGACAGAGCGAGACUCCCUCUCAAAAAAUAAAAUAAAAUAAAAUAACUAAAAUAGUACCGUAGGAUUGUUUGUAACAUAAAGGUUAAAUGCUUGAGGGAAUGUGUACCCCAUUCUCCAUGCUGUGAUUAUUACAUAUUGCAUUCCUGUAACAAAACAUCUCAUGUAUACUCCAUAAAUAUAUACAUCUACUAUGUACCCCUAAAAAUUAAAAAUUAAAAAAAAUCGACCACCCCAUUUUUCUACCUUCUACUUUUGUCCCUGAAGGCAAAGGUAGAAGGUUCGUGUUCUCCCUACAGUGUUGCUGGGAAGAGUCACACCUCCUCCACCUGCAAGUGAGGCAGUGGCUGAUCCUUCCAACACUGCCAUGCUGUUUUCAGGGGUGAAAGGGCCUGCAAAGAGCUGCAGGUCUCAGAAAAGGUCAUUACCUACAGGGAAGGAUUCCAGAGGGGACAAGCACUGGUAACCAACGUAGCCUUGGGGACAGACGCAUUGUUUUCCAUUCCAAAUUUGUCCUUCCUGGCACAACCCUGUGGAGAGAUAGAAUCCACAGCAGUCACCGUGGGAGCCCAAAGAGCAAAAACAUACACUCCCAUUCCAGGUCCAGUCACUCAGCAUCGCACUGGAGAGCAGGACGAUGCCAGAUGACCGCACAGCAAUGAAGAUGCCUCUGCUGCCACCUCUGCCCCCGGGAGAUAGUAAGAAAGGGAGGAGGAACAGCAGAGAGUAAGGAAACAAAAGAUACAAGAGGUCCAGCUAUGAAAAAAGCACUCUUAUGUACCAAAAGAAGACAACUCUACCCAUGGGAUCACCUGGAACAGGGAGGAGAAAGAGUUGGAAAUGUGAAACAAAACCACAGGAGGCCAGAGCAGAUGCGGAUUCUCAUGAUGAGACAGAAGGAGGCCGGGCGCGGUGGCUCACGCCUGUAAUCCCAGCACUUUGGGAGGCUGAGGUGGGUGGAUCACUUGAGGUCAGGAGUUUGAAACUAGCUUGGUCAACAUGGUAAAAACCCAUCUCUACUAAAAAUACAAAAAUUAGGUAGGCAUGGUGGUGGGCACCUGUAAUGCAAGCCACUUGGGAGGACAAGGUAGGAGAAUCGCUUGAGCCCAGGAGGCAGAGGUUGCAGUGAACCAAGAUCAUGCCAUUGCACCCCAGCCUGGGCAACAGAGCAACACUCUGUCUCAAAAAAAAAAAAAAAAAAUCCAGAGAAGAGGGGUUCAUGGAAGGAUGAAAAAUAAAUACAUAAAUAAAACCACCCUGGAGUCAUAGAGGAAGGAGAGAUUGUCAUCAUACAUGUGUGGGGACCAGUGAACGGCACAUGAACACUGGAAGUGGUAUCGAACCCAGAAACUGGAUAAUCGGUAGACCCAAGUAAAGUGGAAGACAGAGGAAAAGAACCAAGAGAGUUUGUAAUGGAUGAAGAAGACUCAUGGACAGGCCUGGAGAAGAAGCUAAACGUGGAUGAAAUGGAAAGAGCAGUACCUGGUGCUAAGGUUUCCAGGCUUUCAGUAGACACAAUUGUAG